rnacentral:snoRNA from 1 species
AUGAGCAAGGUCAGAGAUCCCGACACAUGAAGACCGGCCUUAUACCGA